CCAACUUAAGUAAGUACAUUGAAUGAAUUAUUGCAAUAGUUGGAGAAACGAUUGUCAUCCUCCAUAGAACCCAGCAACAGCAGCAGCAUCCAGUUCCUCUUCAUUUUGCCUGCUUAGAUUCACCGCCGUGGAGUUCACAAGCGAUUUCUGGUUGCGGCAUUGCGAGCUGCAUUUCAUCGCCAGCCUGCUCAGUUUCCUGCUGCUGAUGCUUGUCGCAACCCUUCUUCGUCACGUGGAUCACUGCUCUAGUUUCUGAAUCGCACGCAACCAUGGUUUGACUUUUCAUUCCUGAUUCUUUCCUAUCCACCAUCUCUGCAGCAUGGCUGAAAUCUGUGGUGUCAUGUGCCCAAAAGUUGAGCAGUGCGGCAGCGACCCUACCAUAGCUCAAAUAUGCGGUUCACGGCCACCUGGGGUGUAGCCUGACUAGAGCUCGGUCCCGUGCUUGCAUGGAAUUCGUGUCGAUGUAUGAGGUUGGCGACCGUCGCGCUCACUUCUUCCUCAGCUGCGGCUUGAUGAUCUGGGAGUGCCAAUGAGAACGGAUGUGUUUUUGAUCGUGUUUUCACCGACGAAACUGCUCAACGAAAGGCAAAAAGUUCUGCAGUGGGCACUGUCGAAUUUCGCUUUCAACAUGUUUGAUCGAAAUCGGACCACUCGAUGUUGAAUCAUGCGUUCUCCUUCAGCAGAAAGGGAAUAAUGAGAAGUUCAGAUUUACAACCACUGGGAAGCCGAGUUGUAUAGUUGGCACAGGUUAUUUUAUUUUAUUUAUUAAGGAGUGCAUGCAGUGGUGUUAGUUUCCAUUUUUCAGCUUGUUUUAUGUGGGGUAGAGAAAUAGCCGUAAAUGUUCAUCCUGAAGUGGUUUUUUCACUGCGUAUGAUAAGUUUUGGGUAUAUUACUUUCACUCCAAAAAAAAGCUCUUACAUGAAUAUCUUUCUCAAGUGGCUAAAUCAAAAGUAUCUCCAAAAAACGAACGAAACAAUACUGUUUUUACAAUGACUAUUGUUAUGUGGAAUUUGUCGCAUGUUAUUCCUCAUCGUCAAUUUGCUUGUGUUCGUGGUUCCGUGCUCUCUAUGAAAAGCCUUAGACACAAACCCUCAAUAUUGCAACUCAACAAAUUUUGUACUUUUCGUCUUUGGCCGUGUUUCUACUCAAUUGCACGGUAGGCAAGAUAGAAUGGAAAUAAUGGGUCUCACCGGAACUAUCGAUUUUAUGUCAGUUCUUCAGAGUUGCAUUGCGUAGUUUGGGACAUGUAACCAAGAGUGUGGACAUGUUGGGCCUGUAACCAAGAGCUCGCAGUGAAGCUAAGCACGGAGCCGGUCAUCAGAAGGAACUUGGCACUUCAUCAAUGGACACGCUAACUAACCCACUUGGUGCGCACGAUCGGCUGCCACCCAGUUAAAUUCUGCAUCCCCACAACUCUGGUGUGAAAUUUGAAUGCAACAGAUAGUAGGUGACACAAGCAGCAAUGUCACAUUCAACAGUGUCGCACAAUCACGUCACCCGCCUCAAUCAGGUACUCGAAAAUGAGUCAUACUCGAAAAUGAGGCAGUGGUCAUGGUCCAGUCCGUAAGAGGAGGGAGGGAUUCCGUUUAAGUGGCCUCAAGGACUCCGCGUGGGGGUCACGGGGAGGCUCAACAAGACAUCCCGUCUUCGACAGCAGAGCGGUGACAUUGCCGACUUGCAGACAAAUACAACGACUGCAUGAUUGAUGAAGCUGGAAGUUCUCUUAUGUAGAGCACCAUCUACUGCUGACAGAGAGACUUAUGGUUCUCGCAGAGUGUCUUUCGGAUAGGGUUUUGGAUAUAUGCCUUAGCCGGUCCUGUUCCGUCACCGAUGAGCUGUGAGUGCUCACGACUGAGGGCGAUGUUGACGAUGCUCAGGUCGAGAACCAGUUCAUUCAGCUUCUUCUUUCCAUUGCUAGGGUUGAAGUUCUGGGGAUCCCGCACGCGAACUGCGUCAACCAAGGCGAAAUCUAAUUUGGAGGAAAUGUGCAAGCUCGAAGUUCGUUUGAUGUGCGGAGGUUUGUGAAGGAAACGUGAAUUCGCAGGUCCCCAAAAGAUGUCGUGGUGGCGCUGAGGCGACGGACUAGGGACUAGAGGUUCUUUUAUGACACAGGCGACGCUGUGGAGAUCACGGUGAACCACGACAGCUGCCUGACGAUGUAACGAAAUGCGUACGACUGCAGCACGCAAGUAUUUGGCCGAACUGUUUGUAUAUUGGUUCGAUCCAAUAUCUUAUUGUCAGAAUGAAAAACCCAUGAACUCUCUACUAGACUAAACACCACCAGUCGUUCAAAUCAAGCUUUUCAACUUCCCACAGUUUCCCAACACCCCGCUCGACCAAGACUGAAAAUGUUGGCUCCGGGGAUUUUCGAAGGGACCGUAGCUUUGCUUGUUUGUUGGUCGAUAUCAUCAAUGUCCCAAAGCUGCUCGGGUAGUACUUGGGCACUACUCACAACAUGUGGUGGGUUGGGAAGUUCAGCGAUACCUGAAAAGACUACCCGUAUGGUGACCUAAAACGAGCAAAUCGGUCAACAGAUGAUUCUCACAGAAAAUAAUUCUUUCUGCAGAGUUAGAAGAACUGGAGGAUUAACAUUCAACAAGGCGGCUGAGCCACACUGAGUUUGCGAUAUUACCCAGAAGAGCUUCUGCAGUACCUGACAAACAGGUAGAGACCAGUCACUUCUUACAACCCUAAGGACGUGACGCUGCCAACCACAAUUACGAACAAGUUAAUCUAUGGUGCUUCCGGUGUUGCUGAAGGCCAAAUGUUCCGGACCCCUCAACUGGCGCUGUGAGAUCCUUCAGCAAAUCGGAUGCCCGGCUGGAUCAGUGGAGAGUAUUCACACAACCACCCACUCCUGACAUUCAUCGAAGCUGCGUGAUCUCGCAAUGAUGUAGAAGGGUUUUUCAGGCAGUCUCCAGUCCUUUGAGCUGUCUUAGAUCUGUUCUAUGUUUGUGGUGUUAUUCGAUUGCUCUGAACACGGGCAUGAUGGUGAUGACGCGUAAUAGAGCCUCACACUUCGAUAACAAGACAACGAAUUCCUUGUGUGUGCAUGGAAUCCUUCUGAGCAUGCUGCCAACAUCAGGUGCCAUCGAGUCUGUUCAUAUUAUAGAUUACUUGUUAAUGUACCCGAAGCAUCGCAUUAUUCUACAUGACUCGGAAACCCAGGACAGAUUAAAACUUUGCUUUGCCUCAGA